rnacentral:rRNA from 1 species
GACGAACGCUGGCGGCGUGCCUAAUACAUGCAAGUCGAACGCUUCUUUCCUCCCGAGUGCUUGCACUCAAUUGGAAAGAGGAGUGGCGGACGGGUGAGUAACACGUGGGUAACCUACCCAUCAGAGGGGGAUAACACUUGGAAACAGGUGCUAAUACCGCAUAACAGUUUAUGCCGCAUGGCAUAAGAGUGAAAGGCGCUUUCGGGUGUCGCUGAUGGAUGGACCCGCGGUGCAUUAGCUAGGUGGUGAGGUAACGGCUCACCAAGGCCACGAUGCAUAGCCGACCUGAGAGGGUGAUCGCCCACACUGGGACUGAGACACGGCCCAGACUCCUACGGGAGGCAGCAGUAGGGAAUCUUCGGCAAUGGACGAAAGUCUGACCGAGCAACGCCGCGUGAGUGAAGAAGGUUUUCGGAUCGUAAAACUCUGUUGUUAGAGAAGAACAAGGACGUUAGUAACUGAACGUCCCCUGACGGUAUCUAACCAGAAAGCCACGGCUAACUACGUG